UAGGGAAUCUUCCGCAAUGGGCGAAAGCCUGACGGAGCAACGCCGCGUGAGUGAUGAAGGUCUUCGGAUCGUAAAACUCUGUUAUUAGGGAAGAACAAAUGUGUAAGUAACUAUGCACGUCUUGACGGUACCUAAUCAGAAAGCCACGGCUAACUACGUGCCAGCAGCCGCGGUAAUACGUAGGUGGCAAGCGUUAUCCGGAAUUAUUGGGUGUAAAGCGCGCGUAGGCGGUUUUUUAAGUCUGAUGUGAAAGCCCACGGCUCAACCGUGGAGGGUCAUUGGAAACUGGAAAACUUGAGUGGAGAAGAGGAAAGUGGAAUUCCAUGGGUAGCGGUGAAAUGCGCAGAGAUAUGGGGGAACACCAGGGGCGAAGGGGACUUUCUGGUCUGUAACUGGCGCUGGUGUGCGAAAGCGUGGGGAACAAACAGG
rnacentral:rRNA from 1 species